UGCUUCCUAACGUUUCUCAAGGGCUGGUGAGAGCAAUUAUUGGUUUGGUAAGAGAAUCAAUUAGGAUGGCAAGAGCUUCGGGAUCUGAUUGCAAGAUUAAUAACAGGUACACAAAUACACAUCUUGUGAACAUAGAAACUUUAACGGACCUGAGCCUGGGAGUGCUUCUCAUCUAUGGGAUCGACGAACGGCAGCUCUUCUCAACAAAGCAGCCGCUUACCUUAGCAGGCUGGGCCACAGAAAUUAUUUGAAGACACACAAGCUACCUGCUAUGCAACAUAUCUUUCUCAGCUCUGACUUGAGGAGCAAUGGCCGAGGUUGUGAUUCUCUUGGCUAAGUGGCAAAGAUCGGUGUAGCUCUGGGGAAUGAAGCAAUGAACCAGGCUACUUUACAGUUCAAUAACUUUAUAACACACCUAACAGAGCUUCAAGGAAGCAUGGGUCACAUCAGAAGGGAGCUCAGAUUGAUGCAUGAAUAUCUUUGCUGAACGGACAUACGGAAUCGCAACAAUCAGACAUAUGAAAUCUGGGUGGAGGAGGUGAGAAUGUUUGUUCAUGGGAUUGAGGACAUUGUGGAUGAGUAUUUGCAUCUUGUUGGUCAGAAACAUGACAGUGGAUGGAGUGCCUAUAUGAAGAAAGGAUUCAAACAACCAAAUGUUUUCUUCUCUUUAAACAGGGUAGCUUCUUUGGUUAAGGAAGCGGAGGUCAAUCUUGUGCACCUGUUUCAGGCUAAAGAUCGAUGGGUGUUAAUGGUAGAUAGUGGGUAUAUGAAUGACUCAAGUUACAUUGUUGAGAGGUCUCAGCAUCUAGCAAGCACUUCACAUUCCCUUGCUGAAGAAGAUCUCGUGGAGGUUGAUGGAAACAGAAAAAAGCUUGAGCAGUGGUUGGCAGGUGAUGAGUUGGAACGCUAUGUGAUAGUGCUGCAUGGUAUGGGAGGGCUUGGUAAAACAACUUUGGCUGCAAAUGUCUACAGGAAGGAAACAGAAAAUUUUGAUUGCCACUGUUGGGUCUCUGUCUCUCAAACUUAUUCCAGAGAAGAUGUUUUAAAAAAUUAAUCAAGGAGCUUUUCAAAGAUAAAGCCAUUGUUCCAUCUAAUAUUGAGACCAUGGACAUCAUAAGCCUUGAAGAGGCACUGAAGAAUUUUUUAGAGCGGCGUAAGUAUUUGAUCAUGUUGGGUGAUGUUUGGACUCCUGAAGCAUUUCAUGAUCUUUCUAGGGUGGUUAUUCGUGACAAGAAGGGCAAUAGAGUUGUAAUCACAACCAGGGAAGGCAAUGUUGCUCGACUUGCUUCUCAAGGACAGAUCUUAACACUAAAACCUCUAUCAAAGGAUGGAUCAUGGGAACUCUUCUGUAAGACAGCUUUUCCUAGAGAUACCAAAUGUGAGUGUCCCACAGAACUGAUAGAAUUAGCACAUGAAGUGGUUGACAAGUGUAAAGGCAUAACCCUCGCAAUUGUCUCUAUUGGCAAGCUCCUCUUUGUACGUGACAAGACCAAAGAGGAACUAAAGUGAAUACAUGACCAACUCGACUGGGAGCUAAUUAACAAUCCAAUCUUGGAACAUGUCAGGAAUAUCCUUUAUUUGAGUUACUUGUACAUUCUGACAUACUUGAAAAGUUACUUUCUAUUCUACAGCUUGUUCCUAGAGGACUAUCUUUUCAGAAGGAAAAGGCUGAUACGAUUGUGGGUAGCAGAGGGCUUCGUCGAGGGAAGGGGUGAAAGCACAAUGGAGGAAGUGGCUAAAGGUUAUCUAGAAGAGUUGGUUCACAGAAAUAUGCUUCAAGUUGAUACAAGAAACCCAUUUGGUAGGAUAAAAUCAUUCAGGAUGCAUGAUAUUGUACGUGAGUUGGCAGUAGAUUUGUGUCGUCGGGAAUGCUUUGGUGUUGUUUAUGAGGAGGAUAAAUAUAUGGAAUCUCUUGAUGAGAUGGAUGCACGUCGACUGGUAAUACACAAAAUGAAGAAGGAUAUUUAUUAGUCCGUA